rnacentral:rRNA from 1 species
GACGAACGCUGGCGGCGUGCUUAACACAUGCAAGUCGAACGGAAAGGCCCUGCUUUUGUGGGGUGCUCGAGUGGCGAACGGGUGAGUAACACGUGAGUAACCUGCCCUUGACUUUGGGAUAACUUCAGGAAACUGGGGCUAAUACCGGAUAGGAGCUCCUGCUGCAUGGUGGGGGUUGGAAAGUUUCGGCGGUUGGGGAUGUACUCGCGGCUUAUCAGCUUGUUGGUGGGGUAGUGGCUUACCAAGGCUUUGACGGUUAGCCGGCCUGAGAGGGUGACCGGCCACAUUGGGACUGAGAUACGGCCCAGACUCCUACGGGAGGCAGCAGUGGGGAAUAUUGCACAAUGGGCGGAAGCCUGAUGCAGCAACGCCGCGUGCGGGAUGACGGCCUUCGGGUUGUAAACCGCUUUCGCCUGUGACGAAGCGUGAGUGACGGUAAUGGGUAAAGAAGCACCGGCUAACUACGUG